rnacentral:SRP_RNA from 1 species
GUGCGGUCUAGACUGGGGGGUUAGGCGUCCCCUGUUGCCAGAAAUCGCCUGAGCUGGAGUCGAAGCCGCCGAGGCGGUGCAGGUGCCCGCCAGUGAUCCAGUAUCGGACGAUGAGGUUUCGUCCUCUGGGAUCGGAAGUGAUGGGAACGAUGGCUGGAGGGUCAUCUCACCCAUCUUUGUCCCGGUCAACGGGUGAGGUCCGGAAGGAAGCAGCCCAGGCGGGAAAUGCUGCUGCUCAGAGCGGUGCGGAACUGAGAAAGGUACCGGGCAAAUCACUGACGAGUGCCUGUCCCCACUUGGGGCGUGUCCGUAC